UCCACUUAACUAUUACUCCGUACUCCGUAGUAACAUUGAUUAUCAACUCAUAUCAAAUUUGGGCCAGAUUAAAUUUGGGUGUUGUGAGUCACUUAUAAAAUAUACUCUUAUUCAUUCAUUUAAACCUAAAAGAGUGGAGUACGAAAAAGAAAGUACAAAUUCAAAAAUAAAAAAUUAAAAAUGGAGGUUUUUUUUCUCCAAAAUAGAAAGAAAAUAUUCAGACAUUCUAUUCUAUCAAAUCACAUAAUCUAAUUUCGAUAAUAUUACUCCUAGUAGGGGUUGAGUAGAGUAGAGUCCCUAGAAAAUCCACCCAAUUUCAAAUUCAAACGGUCCAAUUCCUUUCUUACACUCUCCCUCCUUUCCUUUUACAGUUUAUCAUCUUCAUUUGCUGUUCUUACACUUUCAAUUUUCAUUUUUCAACCCUAAAACUCCUGUAAAAGAAGCAGAGAGAAAAAAGAGUGUUGAUUUGAAAAAGGAGAAAUCAGUAAUUUCAAAGAAGGAUUUGAAGCUUGCUUUAGUUGCAAAAAGACUGUCUAUGCUUCAAGAAUCAAGAUGAUCAUCAAACUGAAAUUCAACCUAUAUUAUCUCCAGAGAAUCAAAAGCAAAGUCAAAGGUAAAUAAAAGGCCCUAAAAUUUUUCAAUUUUAUCAAAUUUCAUAAGAGAACGCAUAAAUUAUGUAUACAAUGGGUGUAUUGUACAUUUUUGUAAUACAAGUUGGUAACUUUUUAUGUCAUUUGACCAUGACUUUUCUUGUUUUAUAAAAAAUUUACACACAAAUUUAACUUUUAUGUGAUUUGGCGCGACUUGUCUUAUUUUAUACAAGCCGGCUAGACAUAUCGAAAAAGUAAUUAAGCAAUAUAGAUAAGUUACUUUAUUAUGUUAUCAUAUGCAUAUCACUUGUUUAAUUUCACAAUGCUAACUAAGUCUUGUGUAAAUAAAUCUUAA